rnacentral:sRNA from 1 species
CUGUAGGUAAUCAUUAUCUCCAUCAGUCAUGCCUUGUACCAACAACAGAGGACCCCUAUGAAGCAAUUAAUUCCUUCAUAGAGAAAGAAGUGCCGCCAUCGAUGCGCCGAAGAUAUGGGUCACAUUCGUUCAAUUUGACUCCAUCCUUUCAGUGCAGCCCCUUGUCUUUUCCCCAUCUCUUCCCCGCAGUUACACAGCCAUAAACAACAGGGACAUUCACGAAGAUCUACCCCCUCCCCCCACCUGACAACUUUCUACCCAUCUGAUCAACUAGGAAAUGGAGGACUAGACGGACUGUAUCCCUUUCAGCUCUUAUCUCAAGUAACUCACCGGUGAGAUUUGCGACAAAAAAGGAGCCUAUUCCGAAGCAGGCAGACAGCUUCGAUCAGCUCCUCUAUCGCUGAUACUAUACAAAACCAGAGAGUUUUUCGCAAUGAUGUUUGCGUAUAUCCGUGGAUACUCACUUGCAUUCUCAAUCAUACCGAAGCUUUUUUUUCUUUAUCUCAUGGGUCACUCCGGCAACGUAUCCUUGCGUGACCUCUUGGAUAACUGACGGUCUGCUGUACUUCACGUGUACUCAAGGCUAUUCUUGAGCUGCCUGUGAUUACGGGCGCCAUUAAAGGGCGGGCUAAAGGCUCUGCAGAGAGAGAAGAUACCAAGACGAAGAUGGAGGAAAAUGCGGGGGCGGAGUGGAGGAAUAGGCGGCUGGCGGUUGAUAGCGUCCUCAUUCCCCCUGGCUUUCGUCCCACUAUCAAAAGGGAGGGUUUCUUCAACCAAAAGAAGGAAGUUCAGACUUUGAAAGAGACUAAGGGUGGUGCCAGAACUCUAGAAACUUACGAGACUGCGUGCUGUACGAGCCUUUGGCGACAAAGUGGGCAAGGAGACAUGGAAAGGACGGAUUAGGAGGGGCGUGUGCUCUUCAUGGAUCUCUGGAUAUAAUCAUCUUCAGUCUCCUCAAUUUUACCAAUACAGCUUGGAGAAUAAUGUGGCCAGGGAUGCGAGCAUUCGAUCGCAGGAGGAUAGUAUUAUUAUGCAGCGAGGGAGCGAUCCAAUUAAACCCUCUCCUUCCCAAUUCUAUCCACCAUUAUCACAAUACUAUCCCCCUGCUCCACAACAUUACCCAACUUCAAAUUACCGUGUGCCUCCUACGCAAUAUAUCCCUUACAGCCAAGUGCUGUUCCACAGCUAGGAAUGAGGAGGAAGGAAUAAUGGAUAGAUGUCGAAAAAGGAAUAGAUGUUGAAUAGAGGACUGAAUGACUAUGCACG